GUAGGCCUAACACAUGCAAGUCGAACGGCAGCACAGUAAGAGCUUGCUCUUAUGGGUGGCGAGUGGCGGACGGGUGAGGAAUACAUCGGAAUCUACUUUUUCGUGGGGGAUAACGUAGGGAAACUUACGCUAAUACCGCAUACGACCUACGGGUGAAAGCAGGGGACCUUCGGACCUUGCGCGAUUGAAUGAGCCGAUGUCGGAUUAGCUAGUUGGCGGGGUAAAGGCCCACCAAGGCGACGAUCCGUAGCUGGUCUGAGAGGAUGAUCAGCCACACUGGAACUGAGACACGGUCCAGACUCCUACGGGAGGCAGCAGUGGGGAAUAUUGGACAAUGGGCGCAAGCCUGAUCCAGCCAUACCGCGUGGGUGAAGAAGGCCUUCGGGUUGUAAAGCCCUUUUGUUGGGAAAGAAAUCCAGCCGGCUAAUACCUGGUUGGGAUGACGGUACCCAAAGAAUAAGCACCGGCUAACU
rnacentral:rRNA from 1 species